rnacentral:rRNA from 1 species
UUGAACGCUGGCGGCAGGCCUAACCCAUGCAAGUCGCACGGUAACAGGAAGAAGCUUGCUUCUUUGCUGACGAGUGGCGGACGGGUGAGUAAUGUCUGGGAAACUGCCUGAUGGAGGGGGAUAACUACUGGAAACGGUAGCUAAUACCGCAUAAUGUCGCAAGACCAAAGAGGGGGACCUUCGGGCCUCUUGCCAUCGGAUGUGCCCAGAUGGGAUUAGCUAGUAGGUGGGGUAACGGCUCACCUAGGCGACGAUCCCUAGCUGGUCUGAGAGGAUGACCAGCCACACUGGAACUGAGACACGGUCCAGACUCCUACGGGAGGCAGCAGUGGGGAAUAUUGCACAAUGGGCGCAAGCCUGAUGCAGCUAUGCCGCGUGUAUGAAGAAGGCCUUCGGGUUGUAAAGUACUUUCAGCGGGGAGGAAGGGAGUAAAGUUAAUACCUUUGCUCAUUGACGUUACCCGCAGAAGAAGCACCGGCUAACUCCGUG